rnacentral:rRNA from 1 species
UUAAAUUGAAGAGUUUGAUCAUGGCUCAGAUUGAACGCUGGCGGCAGGCCUAACACAUGCAAGUCGAACGGUAACAGAAAGCAGCUUGCUGCUUUGCUGACGAGUGGCGGACGGGUGAGUAAUGUCUGGGAAACUGCCUGAUGGAGGGGGAUAACUACUGGAAACGGUAGCUAAUACCGCAUAACGUCGCAAGACCAAAGAGGGGGACCUUCGGGCCUCUUGCCAUCGGAUGUGCCCAGAUGGG